AUUGAACGCUGGCGGCAGGCCUAACACAUGCAAGUCGAGCGAGCGGCGGACGCGCGAGUAAUGUCUGGGUAACUGCCCGAGGGAGGGGGCUAACUACUGGAGACGGUAGCUAUUACAGCAUACCAUCAGAUGUGCCCAGAGGGGAGUAGCUAGUAGGUGGGGUAAUGGCUCACCUAGACGACGAUCCCUAGAUGGUCUGAGAGGAGUACAAGCCACACUGGAACGGAGACACGGUCCAGACGCCGACGAGAGGCAGCGGUGGGGAAGAUUGCACAAUGGGCGCAAGCCUGAUGCAGCCAUGCCGCGUGUGUGAAGAGGGCCUUCGGGUUGUAAAGCACUUUCAGCGGGGAGGCGUUACCCGCAGAAGAAGCACCGACUAACUCCGUGCCAGCAGCCGCGGUAAUAC
rnacentral:rRNA from 1 species